AUUUUAAAGAUGGGAAAAUUGAGAUCCUGAAAAUGUACACGAAUUGCUCCGGGUCCCACUUGUGGCCAACAGCAGCGUUAGAACUCCCGAAGGCACACGUGGGGCUGUGACUCUCUGAUUAUGAAAGGACACCAUUGCAAAGUACCUAUAAGUGGGGAUAGACUGAUACAAUUGCUUAGGAAACUUAUGGAGGAAAACACACACACUCUCUUCUUCUUCUUGAAUUAUCUUGAUCCCCAGACCAGAGGUUAUUGAUUUGCCAGCCAUGUUUUCUCAGUUUCUGCAAGAUUGGCCUUCAUAUCCUGGGAAGAGAUAACAGGACAGUGAGAGGAGUGGAGAAAACACCUCCCUUCUUUCAUUGCUGCCUGUUCCAUUCAGGGAGCCCCUGUGACUCCAAAAGUGGCCUUUCUCCUCUGAGCAUCUUAACAGAGGUUUCAGUAGAGGGUACUAUACUAAAUAAUGCAGCCCUCCUUCUUUCUUCCAUGCCAGAGAAGUUUACAAAACAAGGAGGAAGACUUCUACACCUCACAGCCAGGAUUCCCUGCUCUGGCUCUCGGCUGCUGCCUCAGGGUGAAUCUGUUGCUAGGUCAUCGUGGCAUCUCUGCAGAGUUGAGGUCUCACUAAGUUGCCCAGGCUGGUCUGGAACUCCUGGACUCGAGCAAUCCCCCCGCCUUGGCCUCCCAAAGUGCUGGGCUUACAGACAUGAGCCACCGUGUCCAGCUGACAGGAGGUCUUAACAUCCUUGUUUUUCGGACGAGGAAACUGAGGCGUGGAGAGGUGGAGACUUACACAAGAUCAUAGAGCGAAUAGAGGGCAGAGCUGGAGUCUGAAGUCAGUCUGACCGACCAUGAAACUCACAUGUCAUCCUGACACCAUUCCAAUCCUGUGAGGGGAAGAUUCCAGAGCAGACAACUCAGCUGCCUUUGUGACUGAAACCGAGAGUAAAUGAAGGAAUAUUUAUGAAGUCUCUGCAACUUGCCAGGUGCUUUCACUAUGCAACCCUCCCUGCAGCAGUCCCGAGAAUGUGAUCCUGAGUUUACUUCUGAUGAAAGCAAGGCUCAGAGGGGCCACCUGCCUAAGGGCGUGCAGCUGGAAUGCGGGGAGCCAGGACUCAAGCUCUGGUCUGUCUCAUUCACUUGGAAGCCAGGCCCCUUUCCUCCCUCCCGCUCUGCGUGCAGGAGCUCCGUGGUGGGGCAGCUGCCCCGAGGGAAGGUCCUUCUGACCGCCAGUGUCUGUGGCUGGCUGUCCAGGAAGCAGAGCCAGGACUGGCAGCUUGGGCUCCGAGGACUGCCUCUUCCUCUUGGCUGCCAGGGAGUUUCCAAUCAUCAGAAGAAACAGACUCUGGGAACAGCUCUGCCACUUGUCCCAGCCCUGCCCCAGCCUCUGAGCAACUGGAGCCCAGAUGCCCUGGCCCACCCUAAGCUAUCCAUAAGCACAGGUGGGCCUGAAGGAGGCUCCCUGCUGGGCGUGGGCGAGGGUCUUGGCCUUCUAGGUGGGACCCUGCCUGCCAGGGGACAGCCUCUUAGGUGGGUGGGAAAGAGCUCUGUACUUGGGGUCACAAAUGUGGCUUCUGGCCCUGCUCCACCAAGGGCCAGUGCGUGAUUUUAAAUAGAUCUCUUCGCCUCUCUGA